UAUAUUGGAACAGAAAUUAAAAGAAAUUAAAGAAUGUGUGAGUAAAAACUCGGUUACAUGUAAAAAACCCAAUUCCCCCUGAAGAAGAGAAAGAGCUGGAGUCCUUUAAAAUCAACUGCCUGUUUUUCUGUGGCUAGUGAGCCUUAUCUCUCCCUUUCCCAGGCAUUGUGAAGACUGUGUCUCUAGCUGUGCAGCUGCAAGGUCACUAGACAGAUAAUCUCAAGUCAUAAAACAUGUUGUUCCUUACAAAGUAAAAAAUGAUAUAAUGCAUGUCUCAGUUAAAUAAGUCUUUGUUUCUCGCUUCUGUAAUAUGCUUUCCCCUGCACAGAUCUCCCCUCACCUCACAAAACGCUUAAAAGGUAGCUUGACUCUUUGUUCAAGGCUCAGUCCUUUAAAUGUUAAUCCGACUGGGUCGGUGCAUCUAAAUAAUUAAGUAAUUCCUCCUCAACCCCUCGGUGUCUCUGAUUAUUUAAUUAUCCCACUGCAUUUCUGGUGGCCCGUACAGGAAUUGGAGACGACAGAUUUACUGUCUCCUUUGCCUGCGGGACUUAGGGCCCUGGGGCUCGGGGAGACCCGGCAUCCAAGGCGCGCCAUGGGGGAGCUUCACCUGGAUGGAGACUGGCUCUCCCCGCGUCCCGGUGCCCUGCCCGGCAGCGCAACAGAACCGGAGACGGGGCUGCAGGACAAUAUCAGCACUUCAGGAACCACGUUGCAGGUGUCACACCUUGGAUUCACCACAGCCAGCAGAAACCAGUGGCAACAGUGACUCCCGACGAUAACCAGUGGAUUAACCAACAAGACCCAGAUCGCCCCACCUGAAUAGUCCUACGGCGAAACCCAACCACCGGUAAGAAGGACAACUGGCCUGCUCUGACCACACCAGAGGAUGGUCAGUCUAUGCACGGCUGAAGCUUGAGGAUCCUGCAAGCUCUGCUCUAGUCACAUCCUGGAAGCUGACUAGUCUAUGCACAGUUGAAGCUAAGAGGACCAUAUCCGGAUAAGUUAAAGAAAGAGGGACCAAUUAACUUCAUCUUUUCCUAAACUUGAAAAGACAAACCAAAUUCUGCCCUUCAUCUCCAAUGUUUGAAAGAUCAGAGGUUCCUGUCAAGAACAUGGGUCCGUGUGUGGUUCACUCUGAAGCAUCUGUCUUCCUGUGAAAGAGCUUGCGGCUGGUCUGCAAAGCUAGGAAUGGUGACCAGCAGUGGUAGAGGGCACCGUGUCCUUGAGGCGACGGCCACACGCAUGUCUGUGCAUUCACACAUGCCAUGUAUUCCCAGGCGUGAACGGUGUGUAAUAUCAUUGCCCUUUGUUACACUUUUGGCUGCAGCUCAUGGGUCACCAAUGGAUGCCCAUACAGAGAGCCAAUUUAGGUGAGCCCAGCAAAGCCAAGCAUACUUCAGCGUCUCCAUGGAAACUUCCUGUCUGUAUCAUAGCCACACGCCUGCAUGUGCACACACGCCUCGGGCCUCAUGUCUCCACACCCUUGCCUGCCUCCAACCCCCAUGUGCUCCCAGCGCCAGGCCUCCAUUCUGCAGCCUCAGAGAGUGGUGUCUGAGAGGAGAAAUGGACCAGGAGCAGGCCCCUGGACUCUGGAAAGGUCUGCUGCCCGACAGCCCAUGGUGACAUCAGAGGGACAGAAAUGCCCACAGGUGGGGAGUCUUCAGCCCCCGACUGCCCAGCUGGCCCCCACUGUGGCUCAGAGAUCUCACCUUCAGGGCUCUGCGGUCAAGCUGUAUUCUGGCCUCUGUCACCACCUUGGCCACGUAUUUCAUGGUGCUCAGCAGGGUCAGUAAGUCGGAGGGUGAACUUGCCUCUGCCGCCUGCCCUGGCAGCUGUGCCAGGAUCUGUGGCACCUCCUCAGCAGGACUGCCCUGGCCUGCCUGCAGCAGCUGAGACAGACGAGACAGCAUGACGUGGGACACAUGGUGGAAUGAUGGUUUGAGAAGAGCAUCCCAGACCCAUGGAGAUUGUUGGCCCCCAGAAGCCCUCCCACACCUACUUCCUGGCUCUGCUAGGGCUCCAGUUCAGAGAAGCUGAACAGCCUGUGGGCUGGGCCUUGGGGAAAAGGGUCUGCAAGCUGGGUCCUAGAGAGGCUAGGGUGGGCCGUGGAGGGGGCAUGUGGGCAGCAGGGUGGAAGCUUCACCUUGGUUCUAGUGAACAAGGCCAGGAGCCUUGCAUCCGUGCAGCUGCUGUGGACGGGCCCCCAGACUCCGUCAGCCCCACAGAGCCUCCUCACUAUGCCCCUCUUGCUCUCAGGACAUGGGGCCUCUGCCACGUGGCCAGCCUUGGUGACAUUCCAGGUGAGCACCGAGGCGUCCUCAGGGCAGGUGAUGUCUCCAUCUGAAGAAUGACGAGCAGGCGCUACUCAGCAAUCACAGCCUCACCUGAGCCUCUCCUUGGGCAGAACCCUAUGUGGGCCCCGAAGCCUGGUCCUGUUGCCCAGGGCAGGGCUGCGCCAUGCAAGAGAGCCCGUGCUCCCAAGGCAAGCAGCUGGGACCAGCCCACUGGGCCCCAGGCCCUGCAUACCCUGGAUGAUGGUGAUGGAGAUGGGGACCCUGAGUGAAGCCAGGCCCGGGCUCUGCAGAUCACAAGUGUACGUGGUGUCAGCCAUCGGGCAGCGCUGAACAGCCAGCACAAAGCACUGAGAGCCUGACUCGUUGAAGGAGGAGGCUGAGGGCAAAACGAAGAAGGGAACUGUCACUGGGCGAGGGACAGGCCUGGAACCCAGCAGGCUCUGACAUGCUGUUUCAGUCUUUCUAGCAAUUCAGAAACAGAGGAAGCAGUGGGGAAGAGCUGAAUGAUGUGUGGGCUCCACUUGGACAGAGGAAGAGAGCUUGGAUUUUGCUGGAGGGGACUGUGGGGUCUCUAAUAAGCUCUAGGACUCAGUUUCCACCAUUUCCUCAUUUGUAAAAUGGAGACUAUCAUCAAACUAAUUCCGUAGAGAGUUAAAUGAGAUUGUGUAGAUGACAGCAUUUUGCAAAAGUUUCCUAUACACAUGUGGUUAUGUUAUGGCAAUAGACGUGGCAUGGCUCUGAUGGGGUAGAAAACAGUGUUGGCCUUGGACCCCACUCUCUGGUUGAACUGUGGCCUCUGUUUCUCAUGAGCUGAAGACCCAGCUGCCUGCAAGAGACAGCUGCCCCCUGGUCCCUCUGACCCCUGACUGCUGGCCCCUUCUCAUACCUUUGCUGCCCUCUCCAGGGCUCCAGGCCGCGGUGUAGGCCAGGUUUGUGCUGGGGAUGCAGCAGCUCAGCUGGAAGCCAGGGAAGGUGGCACAGGAGAUGGACAGCUGGUAUGGAAGUCGAGCCACAUCUGUCGCCUUCAAGGGCACCCUCACCACCUCAUACAGGUUCCACGUGAAGCCCUGGGCCUCGAAGCGGCUCAUGUACUCACCUGCAGACACGUGUGUGCGGCACCAUGUGGCUCCUCUGGGCCCCGCUGCACCACAGAAUCUCUGCUGCUUCCCAAGCCACAGCCUUGCGCCCGUCCUCUGCCUCCCACCCAGUGCUUAACCCCAGCAAGCAAGGUCCCAGGAUGGCCCCUUUGGUGGACAUUCCCUGUCCCCAAGAAGGACUUCUAGGAGGUAGAAGAGAUCUCUCUUUUAUCAGCCCAUGCCCGUGAAUUUCAUGCUCUCCCUAGAGCAGAUGCCCUUCCUGCACCACCCCUGCCAUUUUAGCAUCUUGAAAAACGUGGAUCUGUUCUCAGCAGACAUUGAGACGGUAUUCUCCACAUUCUCCAUAUUUUGUGUGGAGAAUUGUAGUAUUUUUGUUAACAGAAACAUUUUUAUGAAAAAUAACUACAUUUUCCAAAACAUAAUUAGACAAGUGACUUUGUUUUACAUGUUUGCAAAUCUUGCCCGUGUCUGGGUUCUCCCAUCUGCAUUUGCAUUCAAUCUCGUGAUGGCCCUGUAGCCUUUGGAAAGGGCCACUGUCUACACCUGACGGAGUGGGAGUGAAAGGGUCAAAUGACAUCUUAGCAUAUUAGGACAAUAGUUGUGACUUUGUAAACCCUGAAAAGGGUCUCAGAAGUCCCAGACCACAGUGAAAACAGCUGGCCAUUUUUAGAAUUUUCCACAUUGCAAUUUUUCACACCAAGGGACCUCUUAGCCUUUGUUUCCCCAGAAUGGGUAAACAGAAAGAUGAAAAGGGUGAGAAAGAGGUGGAAAGAAAAGAAGGAAGGAGAAGGGAGGGAGGCGUGGGAAGAAGAGGUGAAGGAAAGCAGAGAAGGAAGAGGAGGAAGAAGGGAAAUAAGAGGAAGGAGAAAGGAGGCAAGGAGAGGACAGGCUGGCUACCUGCCCAGUGAUGGGACAUGUUGGAGACGCUGAGGGCAGCCUGGCCGUGGCUGGAAGUCACAGACACCUGUGUCCCUGGCUGCAGGAGGAUGGGACUGGGGCUCCCUGGGUGCCUCAGGAACCAGCUCAGGUUGGUGGCCUCCUGGCUCAGAUGGAGAGUCAGGCUCAGCGUGUCACCAGGCAUCUGCAGCUGGGAGUUCAGGUUGAGGAUCCCGGGGACUGCAGGGAGGUAGGCGACAGGGGACCCUGGAGGAGGGACUUAUGGCCCUCAGAUGAGCAAUGGCUUCUCCCCUGACUCUGGAGCCCAUUCCUCCACACUCCCUCCCUAGCUUUUUAACUUUUUCUUUUUGUCCCUGGAUGGGCACCUGAAUGUGGCUGCUGCAAUCCAGCCUGGAAGACUCUAUCUGUUAUUGGAAACCAAAGAGGGAACCUUUUUGGUCUAUGCCUCUCCCUCCCCCAGGUAUCUUGGGGCUACUGGAGCUGCUUCCUGCCUCCUAGGGUAAAAAGCAGUCACUCCAGCACUUUCUCUCCUUGUCCUUAUGUCUCUGGGGCCUCUCUCAUUAGUCUCCCUACUCAGGUUCCAAGCUCAGGGCCUGUGAUCUGCUAUGAUGGCUGGCUUUCUCUCCCACCCAGAGGAGCAGCUGUGCUUGGACCAGCUGGCCAAACUACAGGUUCAGAGAGGAAAAAACCACUGAGAACAUUUAUUUCACUUAAGGCCAUUGGUUUCCAAGUUCCCAACCUUCCUCACCAGGUGGCAGCAACUGGCAGUACCCGGGUUCGGGAUGGCUGAAGACAAGGCAGCCACAAGGCUGGUGGUUGUGGAGGCUUUGACAAGGAGGGUAAUGGAGGCAGAUGCUGGUGUUCCACUGGUAGCCAGAGAGGCAAGCACAAUAGAAAUUCCCCUCGUGGUUGACGUUACACUCUGUGACAGAGAGAAGAGAAGAGGGGGUGGGCAGGCUGUCUGAGGAAGCUAGGUGGGCAGGGCAGACACCUGCCUGAUGCCUGAGAGGCUUUAGGGCUGGGUAUCUGGACCAAUUCCCAAGCUACAGGUGCCUCAGUCAGGCCCAUGCAUCAGGACUGCCUCCUCAGUCAGGACUCGAGGCAGCAGAUGUCUCGGGGGCCAGGGAACAGGUGAAGGUGGAGGUCUGGGCCCACGUUGUCUGUCCCUUGGGCCAUCAGCCAAAGUUAGAAGAUAGGGGGAUGGGGCAGGCAAGGAAGGGUCUGUCUGGUAGGGAGGUGAGGAAGGAGCUGGGCCACGGAGACAGAACCAGGCAGCCCUUUCUCCAGGAAAUACAGAGGGGCUCACAGAGUCUCAGGCAAGCUGGCUGCAGGAGGCCCGGGAACCUAUGUUCAUUCACUCUCAGCCCCCUUCCCACACAAGUGGUACCUGUUGUGAGUCUGAGGCCAGUGAGAAGAGGCCUUGGGGAAGAGGAAGCUGAGGCAGCGGGGAGAGUCAGUGUCCUGGAGAGUUCAGGGGGCCAGGUCUUAUCUGGAAAGUCCAGAUGUGCAUAGACGGAGACCAGCGCUGAUUCUACAGGAGCAGAGGGGACAGCUGGAGAGGACAGGCAGCGAGGCCACAAGCCGGUCCCCUCUGGAUUCUCUCACCUAGCUGGCCAGUCCCAGGAAUGCAGAGCAGACCCCCUCCCACAGCCUGUCCAGGUGCAUGUAGAUAGGGCUCAGGAAGGGAACAAGUCCUCCCCUAGGCACUGUGCCUUCAGAUACACGGCUUCAUGUCAUCCAUCCAGCAACACCUAUUUUAUGGAUGAGGCUCCAAAGACAAAUGAGUUCAUUUCCAGGCCUCUCCGCUAGAGAACUGGUCACAGACCUGUCCGACUGUGAUCAGAGCCAGUCCUCUCUCUCCGCCACCACUCCCUCACUGCACCUGCCCUCUCCUUUCUGGGUCCUGGGUUUCCACUUCAUUCCCGGCUCCCAUCUCCUCCCCCUCCCUCCUCCUCCUGUCCAUACACUCACCCCCUGCUCCAUUCUCUUGGUCCAGGAGCUGCCCAGAUCCAGAUUCCCCUCCAGCCUGACUCUGUCCCUGGAACAGAACACAGAGGGGAGACCUCAAGUCCCUUCCAAAGGCACCCCAGGGGCCAGCCUGACUAGUCUCAGCCAGCAUGACUCAGUCUCAACCAGCUCUUCUUUUUGCCAGGAGUCAAGUGUACACAUCAGGAAGGGAAAGCAGGCUUCUGUUAGGGGGUGCCAGGGAUGCAACCCCAGGAACCCUGCUAUCCCACCCAAGACCAGGAACCAGGCACGCCCUGGGAAGUCAACAUGCUUUGUUUAAUUCCUUCCUGCGUUUACCUGUCCCUGGGCCUCUAGGCUAAUUGAAAUGGCUUGGACAUUGCUGGCUGGGGCCCAGGCGCUUGGGGAGUUUAUUCCUUCUGUAGGAUUUGACAGCAGGGGAACAGAAGGCAGUGUCUUUCCUCCAUCUUUGGUUCCUGUACAUUAUUUCCUCACCAACUCCUCUGUCAGGGUGAGGGUGGAGGUCUGGGCCCACAUUGUCUGGCCCUUGGGCCAUCGGCCAAAGCUAGAAGAUGGGGGAUGGGGCAGGCAGGGAAGGGUCUGUCUGGUAGGGAGGUGAGGACGGAGCUGGGCCAAGGAGAGAGAACAUGGCAGUCCUUCCUCCAGGAAAUAUGGAGGGGCUCACUGUGUCACAGACCUGAGCCCUGUCUAUAUGCACCUGCGUGUGCGUGUGGAUAUCUAUCCAAAACCAGAUAUUGAUAUAGAUACGAAUAUGGAUAAGACGUGAGUAUAAGCUGGUCACAAUGGCACGUGCCUUUAGUCCCAGUUACUUGGGAGGCUGAGGUGGGAGGAUCACUUGAGCCCAGGAGUUCAAGUCCAGCCUGGGCAACAUGGUGAGAGCAUGUCUUAAAAAAGAUAUAGAUAUAGAUAGAUUUAGAUACAGAUACAGAUAUAUAUUUACAUAAAGAUAGAUUUAAAUUUAGCAAUAGAGAUAGAUUUAGGCUUAGUGAUAUAUAGACAUAGACAUAGCCAUAGAUAUAGCUAUCUAUUGAGGAGAACACAGAUGGAAAGGCACCCUCUAGACUCUGAUGUCUUUCCUCAGAUUCUCUCCCAUCCUCUAAGCCAAUAGUUUCCAAAUCUGCAAAAUUUUUCUUUUUCUUUUUAAAUGGCCAGCUUGACUGAAUGAGACUUUAUCCAAAGUACAGCAGGUAUCAUAUGAGUUUACAGGGACUCAAAUAAGGAAACAAGAGCUAUCCCCCACACCCAGGAAAAUAAAAUUGAGUUCUCAGAGAUCUCAUAACAAAGCAUCCACUUUCCUUACACAUUACUUCCUCUCCCCUCAGCCCUUUUCCCACUACCUAUCCUUUCAUUCCAUGCUUUGUCUCUCCCAAUCAGAGGUCUCCAUUGUUGCCUCUGCAGACCUUCCCUGGGUCUCACCCCAGUCUCACUUACAGGUUGGGAUGCUUGGGCAACUGGUGACCCCAGCAGGGGAAGAGUUGUGGCCAGGAGCAGCAGCGGGGCAGCCGAACAGACCAUGGCUCAGUGAAGCAGUCCCUACAAGCCCACGAUGCAAAUUUCCGCAAGGAAGAGCUGGCAGGGCAGUGUGCAGAUGGGAUGGGAGGGAAGAGGGGAGGGAGCCAGGGCUGAAUUUACAGAGGAAGCACUACAGCCUGUGACUCUGAGUGAAAUGGGAAUCCAGGUCACUGUGGGGGCCACCUGGAGCCCACAUGCCCCAGUGAGAAUGGUGCCCAGGCUCUUUUUGGGCUCUGGACCAAAAGCUCUGAGAGCAGGAGAGGCUUAGGGGUUCGAAGUCACAACCAGCAACAUGUCUAUAAGCCAGGUUCAGUCAUGUUCCCAAGGACCUGGGAAAUCUGGAUUGUUCUGAACUCCUCAAAGGCUGAAUCACUGAUCAAACAGUCAAGGUUACAAAUGAAAAAUAAAGAAAAGAUAAAAAUAUGACAGCUGACUUUUACUCUAAAAUAAUUUCCAGAUAGACUAGAAUCCUCCCUCCCUCCCUCCCUCCCUCCCUCCCUCCCUCCCUCCCUUCCUUCCUUCCUUCCUUCCUUCCUUCCUUCCUUCCUUCCUUCCUUCCUUUCUCUUUCCUCACUCUUUCCUUCCUUCCUUUCUCUCUCUCUUUCCUUCUUUCUCUCUCUCUCACUUGCUCUCACUCUCGCUCUUUUUCUUUCUUUUAGAAACAAGGUCUCCCUCUGUUGCCCGGGCUAGAGUGCAGUAGCAUGAUCAAAGCUCAUGAUCAUAGCUCACCAUAGCCUCAAACUCUUGGGCUCAAGCUAUCCUCCCACCUUAGCCUCCCAAGUAGCUGAGAUUACAUGUGUGCACCACUGCACUGGCCUAGAGUCUUAAAUGUAAAAAAGAAUCUGAGAGAAUACUAGAAAAAAUUAUCAAGUUAUUUCAUAAAAUAAUUUUAAACUGCAGAAGGUUUUUUAAAUUGAUAAUACUGGUUUUUUUUAUGUAUUUAAGUUUUUUAAAUACAUAAAACUGAGAAGCCAAAAAGGAAAUAAAUUUGACUGUCUAAAAACUUUUAAGUUUGGCCUAAGAAGAAUAAUUUUCUCAACAAAGGAAGUUUCUUCUAGUUUUCAUAUCAAUAAGAUAGAAAAUAGGCAAAAGAUGGGAAUAGGCAAUUCACUGAAGAAGGAAUAGAAAUAGUUUGAUAAUGGGCGUGCACGGUGGCUCACACCUGUAAUCCCAACCCUUUGGGAGGCCGAGGUGAGUGGAUCACCUGAGGUCAGGAGUUCGAGACCAGCCUGCCCAACAUGGUGAAACCCUGUCUCAACUAAAAAUACAAAAUUAGCCAGGCGUGGUGGCGCAUCCCUGUAAUCUCAGCUACUUAGGAGGCUGAGGCAGGAGAACUGCUUGAACCUGUGAGGCGGAGGUUGCAGUGAGCUGAAAUUGCACCAUUGCACUCCAGCCUGGGCAACAAGAGCAAAACUCUGUCUUAAAAAAAUAAAAAUAAAAAAGAAGUAGUUUGAUAAACAUAUACAAACCUCCAACUUUACGUAUCAGAAAUACAAAUCAAACAAGAAGAUACUAUUUCUCACCUGCUAAUUAUCAAAAGAGAAAAUUUUAAUUAUAUUAAGUAUUAAAAGUAUAGUUGUACAUGUGUGUAAAAACAGGUACAUAAGAAUAUUCAAGGCAGAAUUGUUUGUGAUAGCAAAUGAGUUGAUUAAACAAUCAAAAUGUCUAUUAAAAAGGGAGAGCUUAUAUAAAUCUUGGGAUUUCCAAACAACACAUUACUUAAAGUUGUGGGGGAAAAGUGAAGUAGCUUUAUUUUGGAGUGAUCCCCAAUAUAUGUAGUGAAGUUUAAAUAUAUGUUAUAUAUAUUAUGCUCCCAUGUAUGUAAACAAAAGGAAUCUAUUUAAGAUGCUUGUACUUUUAUAUCCCUAGAAUAUUUCUGGAAGAAUACAUCAGAAAUUUGACAAUAGUUGUUGCUUCUGGAGAAAGGGAUUAAGGGUCUGGAUGGGUCUGUGUGCUGUUUCAUAUAUAGUUUUUCUAAUCAUAGACAUUUUUUUUAAAUCAAAAAAAGUUGAUUUAAACACACACACAAAGUGCGAAGUACCUAUGGUAGAAACAUAGCCCCACUGCAUUUCCACCUCCACCUCCACCUCCAAUCCCCGCUUACCAGUUUUGCUGCUAAUGGAAGAGCAGACGCACUGAGCAAAUACACUCAUGGGAGCAAUCGCUCUUGUAAAUAGCUGAUUUCAGAAAACAUGAAAAUGGUGGAGAAUCUGGUUUGAGAACCAGAGAGAGAAGUGAGAGAGAAAACACAGGCGCUGGAGGUAGGAUGCUAUUAGCAUGCUGUGUGCUGUCUGUUGCAGCUAUAGGCAGUCUCAGAUGGGCCAAGGGGAUGUGGGACAUCAACAGCAUCUGCUGCAGUCUCCAAAUGGAGUCUGUCAAGGCAUGAAGUGGUCCUAGACUAUGCUCAACAGGGUCUGUCGAAGACCAGGAAAUACACAAGCAAGAGGUGGACUGAGACCCAGAAGAGUGGCUGCUUCAGUGCCAAGGGGAGACUGAGCCAUGGCAGCCCCCAGUUAGGAGAGGCAAGGACUGCCUCCAGUGGAGGGAAGGCUGUUCAUCCAUCAGCAUGAACACUGAAGGAACAAGGAACUCCGAGGACAUUAGAAAGCUAAUAGAGGCUGGGCGCAGUGGCUCACACCUGUAAUCCCAGCACUUUGGGAGGCCAAGGCGGGCUGAUCACCUGAGGUCAGGAGUUCGAGACCAGUCUGGCCAACAUGGUGAAAUCCCGUUUCUACUAAAAAUACAAAAAAAUUAGCCAGGUUUGGUGGUGUGCCCCUGUAAUCCCAGCUCCUCAAAAGACUGAGGCAGGGAAUUGCUUGAACCAGGGAGGUGGAGGUUGCAGUGAGCUGAGAUCAUGCCAUUGCACUCCAGCCUCGGUGACAGAAUGAGACUCCUCAAAAAAAAAAAAAAAAAAAAAAAAGCAAGCUGAUAGAGGCUGGGUGCGGUGGCUCAUGCCUGUAAUCCCAGCACUACACCUUGGAGGCCAAGAUGGGCAGAUCAUGAGGUCAGGAGUUCGAGACCAGCCUGGCCAAAGUGGUGAAACCCCAUCUCUACUAAAAUACGAAAAUUAGUUGGGUGUGGUGGCGCGUGCCUGUAAUCCCAGCUACUUGGGAGGCUGAGGGAGGAGAAUCGCUUGAACCUGGGAGGUGGAGGUUGCAGUGAGCCAAGAUCACUGCCACUGCACUCCAGCCUGGGCGACAGAGCAAGAAUCUGUCUCAAAAAAAAAAAAAAAAAGAAAGCUGAUGGAGCUGGAGCUGGAGAGGUCCUCCGUAUUCCACCCCCAAAACAUAAUUUUCCCUGAUUAAUUCCCAGCUCAUCUCUCAUCUUAACCACUUUGAGUUCAUGACUAAUAGUGACAGUAGAAAUGAGAGCAACAUAUUCCUAGUUCAAGUAAAGCUAAGGUGUCCAAGGUGUUCAAAACUAUUGAUAAAAUUGAGAUUUAUUUUACACUUUUUAGACUGUUCCUAUGAUUUUAGAAAAGCUUGAAACAUUUUUGCAUGUACAGAGAUAUCUAGAAAAAGACUGGAGGGAAAUCUGCAGGCUCUCCAAAGCAUUGAGUUUACCUUAGUACCCCCCAGCGCCUAGCACCAUGCAUUGGAGGCCUUAGGUUAUAUUUGUAUCAAAUCAAUCAAUCAAUAAAUGAAAUACACCAAGACAUAAACAGUGAUUGUAAUUAAAUGGUAGGAUUUGGUAUGUUUUUCUACUUUUCUGUAUGUUUCAAUUUUGUAUUCUGUAAUAGAAAAGAUCUUAAUAAAAAUAUCAUAUCUG